GCAGCUGCUCCCUGAUCUCCAUCAGCACUUGAGUUUUUGGAGCAUUGAGAGGGACGUAGCUGUGGAAUCUUCCUUUGGGAGAGCUCCACCAAACUCUACGGUCUGGGCUUCUCUACCUACGAGCUCUGGGGGGAGUUCUGACAUGCUUGUGUCCGGGGGGAGUUCGAGAAUGUGGCCAAGCUUCACUCGGCCCUUGUUCAGCUGCAGGCUUGCUGGAGUCACCCGCCUGCUGCUCCUUCACGGCCUCCUCAUCCUUCAGCUUGAAGGUUUUCUCUGCUCGGGCAUAUCCUUCAGCCCGAGCCAAUAAAUCAGCAAAGUCCCUGGGAUACUUAUUUUCCAAGAAAAAUAGAAGGUCAUUCUUUUGAAGAUCGCUCUUCAGGGCGGCCAUUGCAACUGA
rnacentral:lncRNA from 1 species